rnacentral:rRNA from 1 species
AACGAACGUUGGCGGCGUGGAUUAGGCAUGCAAGUCGAACGCGAAUCCCUGGGCAACUGGGGAGGAGAGUGGCGAAAGGGGCAGUAAGGCGUGGGUAACCUACCCUCCGGGCCGGGAUAGCUUCGGGAAACUGAAGGUAAUACCGGGCGACGCAGCGAGAUCGCAUGGUCUUGCUGCCAAAGGUCCGCCGCCGGGGGAGGGGCUCACGUGGUAUUAGCUAGACGGCGGGGUAACGGCCCACCGUGGCAAAGAUGCCUAGCAGGUGUGAGAGCACGACCUGCGCCACUGGCACUGAGACACUGGCCAGACACCUACGGGUGGCUGCAGUCGAGGAUCUUCGGCAAUGGGCGCAAGCCUGACCGAGCGACGCCGCGUGUGCGAUGAAGGCCUUCGGGUUGUAAAGCACUGUCGAGGGGGAGGAAGCCGCAAGGUUGACCUAUCCCUGGAGGAGGCACGGGCUAAGUUCGUG